AUAAGUCUGAGUGUCUAGGGUUAUGAGAUCAAAUUGUGUUUCUUUGUCACUGGAAAUCCCCACUUCAAACCUUAAGAACGAGCCAUUCAAAAGCUUGCAGUGAGGCAACACACUUAACAGGAAAGCAUGACUUCAUUUUGGCAUGAUUCGUCUUCAAAAUCAGGCAAAGAAACCCGUUUUAUGGUGUGAAAGAGGUGUGUUCAUGGACGCAAGGCAAUUGCAUACUGAACACCACGUCACUCAUAAAGGUGUGGAUUCAGAAAUUAUUACCCAAUUAACUUCCUGCAAGCUGAUCUAUGACUUCAGAGUCAGCUUCUUGUAAAACCCAACCUUCAACAGUGACCAUCUAAUCUACUGUCAAAUCUGAGAUUUUUUGUGUUUUGCAUGUGAAAGGCUAAUCAGAUGGAUUCAGGUACAAUAGCCCCAGGUGAGCUGAGAUUUUAUGGUCACUCUAGGUUUCAAGUAAUAAAAAC
rnacentral:lncRNA from 13 species